rnacentral:misc_RNA from 1 species
AAAAAAAAAAAAAAAAAAUCGAAGAGUCCACUCAACCUUCAAAAUUAAACCCCAAAACAAUCUAAUAAUAAACUUAAUUUACCAAAAUAUAUCAUAAAAUUUACGAAAUUGAACAAUGCCAUGUUCAACCAGAAAAUUCAAAACACGAGGGACACAAUCACACAAUAAAAACCCUAAAAAAUGGCAUUUCCAAAACCAGAAACUACAGUAGUAAAAGAAGAACAAAACUGAACAACUUCAGGUGAAAAUUUAUUUCCAAAAACAUAGACCAGAAGCACACCAUAAAUCCUCAAAUCAUGCAAAAUUAAACAUGAUUAAUA